rnacentral:rRNA from 1 species
ACAUCCAGAGAACUUAGCAGAGAUGCUUUGGUGCCUUCGGGAACUCUGAGACAGGUGCUGCAUGGCUGUCGUCAGCUCGUGUUGUGAAAUGUUGGGUUAAGUCCCGCAACGAGCGCAACCCUUAUCCUUUGUUGCCAGCGGCUCGGCCGGGAACUCAAAGGAGACUGCCGGUGAUAAACCGGAGGAAGGUGGGGAUGACGUCAAGUCAUCAUGGCCCUUACGGCCAGGGCUACACACGUGCUACAAUGGCGCAUACAAAGAGAAGCGACCUCGCGAGAGCAAGCGGACCUCAUAAAGUGCGUCGUAGUCCGGAUUGGAGUCUGCAACUCGACUCCAUGAAGUCGGAAUCGCUAGUAAUCGUAGAUCAGAAUGCUACGGUGAGUACGUUCCCGGGCCUUGUACACACCGCCCGUCACACCAUGGGAGUGGGUUGCAAAAGAAGUAGGUAGCUUAACCUUCGGGAGGGCGCUUACCACUUUGUGAUUCAUGACUGGGGUGAAGUCGUAACAAGGUAGGCGUACGUGU